UUGGAGGGCAAGUCUGGUGCCAGCAGCCGCGGUAAUUCCAGCUCCAAUAGCGUAUAUUAAAGUUGUUGCAGUUAAAAAGCUCGUAGUUGAAUUUCGGGAUUGACGUGACGGUCGUGCCUUAAGGGGUAUGAACUGUCGCUGUUGAUUUCUCACCUUCUGGAGAAUCUCGAUGCCCUUUAUUGGGUGUCUUGUGGAUCCAGGACCUUUACCUUGAAAAAAUUAGAGUGUUUAAAGCAGGCAUUUUUGCCCGAAUACAUUAGCAUGGAAUAAUAGAAUAGGACGGCUUGGUUCUAUUUUGUUGGUUUCUAGGAUCACCGUAAUGAUUAAUAGGGAUAGUUGGGGGCAUUAGUAUUCAAUUGUCAGAGGUGAAAUUCUUGGAUUUAUUGAAGACUAACUACUGCGAAAGCAUUUGCCAAGGAUGUUUUCAUUAAUCAAGAACGAAAGUUAGGGGAUCGAAGACGAUCAGAUACCGUCGUAGUCUUAACCAUAAACUAUGCCGACUAGGAAUCAGACGAUGUUAAUUUUUUAAUGACUCGUUUGGCACCUUAUGGGAAACCAAAG
rnacentral:rRNA from 1 species